UUUAAUACCUAGUAGGAAAGCUACCAUCAUAACGAAUGUGGUUUUACCAGGGCAGGGCUGAUCCAAUGAAUUCCAGAUAUGCUAAUCCCUGAAAUUACUUCAAAUAAUCGAAACUUGAUUGCAUAAUUUGUAGUAAUUUUGUACUGUGUUCACAAUAUUCUU